AAGCCCAAAAGCCCCUAAAUGGCCGGCCAUAUGUGAAUGAAUUAGGGUUUUGGUUGUUUAGGUCACUUAAAGAAGUGACUAUAUAAAUGAUUAUAUAGCCAAAUAUUCAUAAAGUGAUUAAGGGUUUAUUUUGGGGGAAAAUUGGUGAGAAUUGUCUCUCCAUUUUCUCUCUAAAGAGGCCAACACCUUGGAGGGUUGAUGCGUAAAAUAACUAAACACACAAAUUAAACCCUCUUGUUGACAAAUGUAGUAUGGAUAAGUAGGGAUCGUUCUUAAACCGGGGAUUAGGAGGGAUUGCUAAAACACUCUAAACUGACUCAAAUCUGUAAAACAAAGUUUAAAAAUACUAAACUAGACUCAAAGAAUGCAAAACUAAAAUCUAAAAUACUAAAACAAACCAAAAGACUCAAAACAGAAAACAAACACUCAAAAUUGCCUAAAAACCACUUUCUGGGCAGUUUUGGGACUCUAACACAACUUGGACGAAUUUUGGUUUCCUAAUGACC
rnacentral:lncRNA from 1 species